AAACAAAGAGCAAAUUACAGGCACGAAUGAUCCAAUCAGGCGAGGUUUGGACGAUGGUGACGUGGGUGACGCGUGCAGCAACAGCGGUGUGGCGAGCUUCAACGACGGCAAGGCUUGCAGUGUGCAGCGACAGCAACGUGCUCAGGGGAGGCGACGACGGCAAGGCUUGCAGUGUGCAGCGAUAGCAACGUGCUCAGGCGAGGCUGCGACGCGAGGCUCAGGCGAGGCUGCAAGGAAGACGGCGACCGGUCGACGGCGUUACAAGCCCUUCAGAUUUGGCCGGCGUUAGAGAUUUGAAGGUUGCGGCUGCUGGUGAGUGGUGAGGUACCGUGAGGCUUGACUCUUGAGAGUGUGUGAAACUGGAUGCGAUAUUGU
rnacentral:lncRNA from 1 species